UAAACUUUAGUUUAUAAAGAAUAGCUGGUUGUUAGUUAGCAGGAAGGUUGAAUUGCCUAAGUUUAG
rnacentral:tRNA from 1 species